UACGAAGGGGGCUAGCGUUGUUCGGAUUUACUGGGCGUAAAGCGCACGUAGGCGGAUUGUUAAGUCGGGGGUGAAAUCCUGGAGCUCAACUCCAGAAUUGCCUUCGAUACUGGCUUUCUAGAGGCUGGAAGAGGUUAGUUGAAUUCCCAGUGUAGAGGUGAAAUUCGUAGAUAUUGGGAAGAACACCAGUGGCGAAGGCGGCUAACUGGUCCAGAUCUGACGCUGAGGUGCGAAAGCGUGGGGAGCAAACAGG
rnacentral:rRNA from 1 species